ACGGAAGGCAGCAGUGGGGAAUAUUGCACAAUGGGCGCAAGCCUGAUGCAGCGAUGCCGCGUGAGGGAAGAAGGUUUUCGGAUUGUAAACCUCUGUCAACAGGGACGAAAAUGACGGUACCUGUGAAGGAAGCUCCGGCUAACUACGUGCCAGCAGCCGCGGUAAUACGUAUGGAGCAAGCGUUAUCCGGAUUUACUGGGUGUAAAGGGUGUGUAGGCGGCGAAGUAAGUCAGAAGUGAAAGACCGGGGCUCAACUCCGGGGCUGCUUUUGAAACUGCAUUGCUGGAGUCCAGGAGAGGCAGGCGGAAUUCCUAGUGUAGCGGUGAAAUGCGUAGAUAUUAGGAAGAACACCGGUGGCGAAGGCGGCCUGCUGGACUGGUACUGACGCUGAGGCACGAAAGCGUGGGGAGCAAACAGGAUUAGAUACCCUGGUA
rnacentral:rRNA from 1 species